GGCUUAUAGCUCAGUGGUACAGUGCUUGCCAAGUAUGCAUGAGGCCCUGUGUUCAAGUCCCAGCACCA
rnacentral:tRNA from 1 species